CCAUGGCUUGGUUGUUUCCUGUUCUACGGUAUCUCCGAUGGAAUGAUUUACUCUGUUUCCCUGAUCUAAGCUCCUCUAGAUCAAAUACAGUUCUUGUACCCGAGACUGUGGUGCAUUCUAAACACUAUAGGCUACAAACCUCCGGACAAAUCAACAUUGUAAGUGAAUUUUUCUAUUUAUUUAAAAUUAAACAUUUGUUAUAUAAAAUUGAAUGUUUUACCUGGAGAAAGUUUUAUUUUUAAAGGCUAGAAUUCUAUUUUAUCGUAAAAUUAAUUAACCCUGGACUGAUUUAUUGUGUUUUCAGUUCACGGUUGAGUCCUGUAUAAACUGCCUACCUGAAAUAUAUACAUAAGAUUUAA